CAUUCACGGAGAGUUUGAUCCUGGCUCAGGACGAACGCUGGCGGCGUGCUUAACACAUGCAAGUCGAACGAUGAAGCCGCUUCGGUGGUGGAUUAGUGGCGAACGGGUGAGUAACACGUGGGCAAUCUGCCCUGCACUCUGGGACAAGCCCUGGAAACGGGGUCUAAUACCGGAUACGACACGGGAUCGCAUGGUCUCCGUGUGGAAAGCUCCGG
rnacentral:rRNA from 1 species